rnacentral:rRNA from 1 species
AUUGAACGCUGGCGGCAGGCCUAACACAUGCAAGUCGAGCGGAGCGGCGGACGGGUGAGUAAUGCCUAGGAAUCUGCCUGGUAGUGGGGGAUAACGUCCGGAAACGGGCGCUAAUACCGCAUACUAUCAGAUGAGCCUAGGUCGGAUUAGCUAGUUGGUGGGGUAAAGGCCUACCAAGGCGACGAUCCGUAACUGGUCUGAGGGGAUGAUCAGUCACACGGGAACUGGGAACCGGGCCAGACUCCUAGGGGAGGCAGAAGUGGGGAAUAUUGGACAAUGGGCGAAGGCCUGACCAGGCAAGGCGGGGUGGGUGAAGAGGGUUUUCGGAUUGUAAAGCACUUUAGGUGGGGAGGCGUUACCAAAGGAAAAAGAACCGGCUAACUCCGUGCAGCAGCCGCGGUAAUAC